rnacentral:lncRNA from 1 species
CUGCCUCAUCACCAUUGUAUUUGCCGAGGGUUGGAUCAAUCAAUUCCAUUAGUCUCCCUCCUUGAUAAAGCGACCAUGCCUACAAUAUUCAAUGAAGAAAAUGAACAAGUGUGAGUGAAAUGGUCACAUUAUUUUUCUUAAUGAUUGGUUUGAGUGUAUGUUUUGAAAUUCAUCCUCUGACCACUUUAAGUCAAAUAACAGGGACUAUACAUGUCAAGGUCCCAUAUGUUUUGUUGUGCAGUUUCAUACGUUAGAUUUCACCAGAAAGAUUUCAAUACAAAAAUUUACAGUUUGCCAGCAAAGACAAACCAAAUCAUACGAUUGCAGAUCAUCAACGACAUCUUUUUUUGUGUGUGUACAGUAGUCACCGUGAGGUUAGAACCCUUAGAACCCAUAACAAAUGGUUCCCAGAGACAUCGGAUCAUAAUACAUAAUCAAAAAAUAGCAAAGCUGGCAAACAAAUCCACGUCAAAUGAAAUAUGAUCAUAAUCACGAUCACUUCCCCGACAAAAGUUGGUAAAAGGAAAUAUUGGCUUAUCCAGAAAACAAAGUUGGGAUUUCCGGCAUGUGACCUUUAUCCAUACCUCAAAGUCAUUUGAAAUUUGUACCUUGAUCAUAGAAUAAGAUAAAUUUUAACACGAGUGCUCUAGUGGACAUGACUCCACUAUUCUGGAUUCCAGGUAGAAAGGGUUAAAUCUAUACUACUUCAAUCCAUGUAGGGGGAGAGAGCUUAAUUUGUGACUAGAGUUGUGACCUACCCAGUUUACAUUAUCCCAAGGUUCACCCUUAAGCAGCCAUAAAUGGUAGCCGAGAAAGACUUGUGGAAGCAGUUGUGUCACAGAAUUAAUUCAGAAGCAUGCUUGUUUGGGUAACCUUAACAUAUAUAAGUGAAUAUCAAGAACAAGCAUCAUUACUAAUGUAAUGACACAAAAGUUUUCCAUUUUAUUAAAAUCGUCAGCACAACUUAGAAAAUAUGCAUUUUUCUUGGUAAAAAAUAUGUACGUUAAUUAAACUAUAACAAGAAUCUAAGUCCAUGAGAAUAAGUUGUCCAUACUAAAUUUGCAUUGAUGUCUGCAAUCCGAUCAACUUACAUAGCUCAAGAGAUCUGCUUUUUCUGGUCCAAGUCGCAUAUCUUGGUUUUUUCUCCCACUAAUUAUUUCCAACACCAGGACUCCAUAACUGAAAACAUCCGUCUUCACUGACAGAUAUCCUCGCAAUGCAUAUUCAGGAGCCAUGUAACCACUGUAUUCAUCAAAUAUAAAGUGUAAGGAUACCAACAUCUGAAUGACAAGCACCAAGAAGGGAAGAGUCUACUCACUGUGUACCGGAAAUCUUAAAUGUCUGUACGUGAGUGUCCUCCCCAGGAAACAGCCUUGCCAAACCAAAGUCUGAAAUUUUCGGAAUUAAAUUGUCAUCCAACAAUAUGUUACUAGCUUUAAUGUCCCUGUGUAUAAUUCUUUCUGGUGCCUCUUCAUGCAGGUAGAGAAGUCCUCUUGCCACACCAGUAACUAUUCUGAAUCGUUUUGCCCAGUCCAAAGAUGAAGACUUCCUCUUAUCUGAAAAAAAUUGCCUUACAACUUUUGUCAAUCAUUUUCUACAAGCAACCACAAAACAAAAGUAAAUAAAUAGAUGAAGAAACAUCUCUUUUCAAUACCAAACAGAAAGUGAUCAAGACUUUUGUUAGGUAGAUACUCAUAGACAAGCAUCUUUUCAGGCCCUUCUGCACAACAACCAAGUAAUGUAACCAAGUUCUUGUGCUGAAUUCUGAGUAGUAGCCUGACUUCGUUGGUGAAUUCUUUAACUCCUUGCCUAGAUUCCAUUGACAGCUUCUU